AUCCAGCUGACGAGUCCUAGAAUAGGACGAGACAUGCAU
rnacentral:hammerhead_ribozyme from 1 species